rnacentral:rRNA from 1 species
GACGAACGCUGGCGGCGUGCUUAACACAUGCAAGUCGAACGAAGAGCGAUGGAAGCUUGCUUCUAUCAAUCUUAGUGGCGAACGGGUGAGUAACGCGUAAUCAACCUGCCCUUCAGAGGGGGACAACAGUUGGAAACGACUGCUAAUACCGCAUACGAUCUAAUCUCGGCAUCGAGGAUAGAUGAAAGGUGGCCUCUACAUGUAAGCUAUCACUGAAGGAGGGGAUUGCGUCUGAUUAGCUAGUUGGAGGGGUAACGGCCCACCAAGGCGAUGAUCAGUAGCCGGUCUGAGAGGAUGAACGGCCACAUUGGGACUGCGACACGGCCCAGACUCCUACGGGAGGCAGCAGUGGGGAAUCUUCCGCAAUGGACGAAAGUCUGACGGAGCAACGCCGCGUGAGUGAUGACGGCCUUCGGGUUGUAAAGCUCUGUUAAUCGGGACGAAAGGCCUUCUUGCGAAUAGUGAGAAGGAUUGACGGUACCGGAAGAGAAAGCCACGGCUAACUACGUG